UCUUAUUAUUCUACUAAAUUUAAGAUUUGAUUAUUAGAAAUUGUUGCAUCCUACUUCCAUUAUUCCACUAAAUUUAAAAUUUUAUUAUAACUAUAGAACAACUAUUAAUACUAUUAUUUGACUCAUCAUGUAUCUAAUGAAUUCUUAUACACACCUGCACCAUCAUCGAUGACACACUAGAAAGGAGCGUGCUCAUUAGAGGACGGAAUGAAAACGUACCUCCCUGCCAAAAACGCGAUGCUGCAAUGUUCGCUGUCGUCGCAGCGCGUCUUACAUAACCCUACUCCCCUUACUCCUAGCGCCACCUAGACGACCCUUUGUUGCAAGCCGUAACGCGAUGUUUUUAUGUGCUCGUCGCUCUCCCUCUUUGCUGUGCUCGCACGAGUUUUCUAGGAACGCAAAGUCGAGUGACGUGGCGGUUAAAUUUUCCACCAAGUUACACGGAUAUAUUUACAACGUCAGGACGAGUUCGAACACGGUCGCUUUUUCAUUCUGAGCUCCCUUACACUGAAGAACUUGUUAGACACUCUGAUGGUGCAGAGACCUUGAAUCUAAAGCUAUUCGCCUACGCCUGUGAUAAUUUUGAUCUUGUUUGUCAAUGCCUACGAGUGUUUAACACAAGUCUAACAAAUUUUUAGAAUAAAUUUCCUUAGACAUAUUUGUAAUAGUAAAGAAAUUGUAAUUUAAUUAGAAAAUAUUAUUAGGAAACGCUAAUUCUGAAUGCUGAUAAAUGUCAAUUUCGAGUAGAUUACGAAUAUUCAUGUAUUUAUAGAACAAAUUUUCAAAGUACACAUAUUAUGUAAAAUGUACAAAACAUCCAUUAAAGACGAAACAAAUCUUCAUCUAAAUCCUAUCUCUUUGACUAUUCAUCUCGACACAAAUUUGCAUAAAUAUCUUCCAUUGAGGUAUUAACGUAAUAGCGAAUAUCUCUACAUAAUAUUGUUUUAAUGUUAGGAAAUCCUGAUUUACGAUUGAUAUAAAAACAAUUGUUACUAGACUAACGCAAUCCAUUUCAGGGGAUCGUCAUAAGCGGAUCACAGAGAGAGGAAUUGAGAAUUCAUUAAGAUUUAAUCGGAAUAACGUGAUUCGAUUAUUCCAUUUAUACUAUCAUGAUAUAAUUAUUGAAAUAGUGAAUGUCUAUAUUUGUGCACUGCUGCUUACACUGCAGAUAACAGAAACUACGAUAAUACACACUGUCUAUAUGUUAUAUUAUUUUGAGCCUGCGUUUCCCAGUGCCGCGUUAGGGAGAUAAAAAUUAAUUUAUGCGCGCAUUGAAUGGUAUUUUUCGCACCAAAGUUGUUAUUCUACAAAAGAAUGACAAUUCUUUAGAAUCAUUCAUAUUUUUGAUUAAAUAUUAAGUCAUCCUAAAUAUAUACAAAUACGCAAUAAUUAGAAAUUAAAUUGUUUUCACUGGGGACGUUAAUCAUUAUAAUGGCAGCGAUGAUGUCACGCCAAGCAUUAACGCUGCAAUGAUCUAAUGAACACAUCAGAGGAUAUCAAGUGCGGCUUCUAAUCAUGUUAGCUUCUCGCAAGACUCUUCACUACGCAUUUUACUACAUUGUUCUAUCUGAUUCUUUGCUUCCUAACAAAAUUACGCACUGAAUUUCAGUUCGAAAGAAAUCUUCAAUUGAAGAGUU
rnacentral:misc_RNA from 1 species